UGGGGAAUAUUGGACAAUGGGCGCAAGCCUGAUCCAGCCAUGCCGCGUGGGUGAUGAAGGCCCUAGGGUUGUAAAGCCCUUUCGGCGGGGAAGAUAAUGACGGUACCCGCAGAAGAAGCCCCGGCUAACUUCGUGCCAGCAGCCGCGGUAAUACGAAGGGGGCUAGCGUUGCUCGGAAUCACUGGGCGUAAAGCGCACGUAGGCGGGCUCUUAAGUCGGUGGUGAAAUCCUGGAGCUCAACUCCAGAACUGCCUCCGAUACUGAGAGUCUUCGAGUCCGGGAGAGGUGAGUGGAACUGCGAGUGUAGAGGUGAAAUUCGUAGAUAUUCGCAAGAACACCAGUGGCGAAGGCGGCUCACUGGCCCGGUACUGACGCUGAGGUGCGAAAGCGUGGGGAGCAAACA
rnacentral:rRNA from 1 species